UAGGGGUGUGCCGGUUUCAGAAUUGGUGAUGACGGUUAUGACGCGAGUCAAAUGUGACGGUUCAUAACAUAACCGUCGGGGGGGGUAUUAUGGAUCUGCCGUAGAGUCAAUUGGUUGUUCUUGGAGAUAGCGGGUUAACUCCGUGUCAGCGCG